CUAACACAUGCAAGUCGAACGGGAUCCCUGGCGCUUGCGCCGGGGUGAGAGUGGCGAACGGGUGAGUAAUGCGUGACCAACCUGCCCCAUGCACCGGAAUAGCUCCUGGAAACGGGUGGUAAUGCCGGAUGCUCCAGAUGACCGCAUGGGAUUCUGGGAAAGCUUUUGCGGCAUGGGAUGGGGUCGCGUCCUAUCAGCUUGUUGGUGGGGUGAUGGCCCACCAAGGCUUCGACGGGUAGCCGGCCUGAGAGGGCGACCGGCCACAUUGGGACUGAGAUACGGCCCAGACUCCUACGGGAGGCAGCAGUGGGGAAUAUUGCGCAAUGGGCGAAAGCCUGACGCAGCGACGCCGCGUGCGGGAUGGAGGCCUUCGGGUUGUAAACCGCUUUUAUCGGGGAGCAAGCGAGAGUGAGUGUACCCGUUGAAUAAGCACCGGCUAACUACGUGCCAGCAGCCGCGGUAAUACGUAGGGUGCAAGCGUUAUCCGGAUUUAUUGGGCGUAAAGGGCUCGU
rnacentral:rRNA from 1 species